rnacentral:rRNA from 1 species
CAGCCGCCGCGGGAACACGAAGGGGGCUAGCGUUGUUCGGAAUUACUGGGCGUAAAGGGCGCGUAGGCGGCCAUUCAAGUUAGAUGUGAAAGCCCUGGGCUCAACCUAGGAAUUGCAUUUGAUACUGUUUGGCUUGAGUUCGGGAGAGGUGAGUGGAAUUCCCAGUGUAGAGGUGAAAUUCGUAGAUAUUGGGAAGAACACCGGUGGCGAAGGCGGCGACCUGGUCCUUGACUGACGCUGAGGCGCGAAAGCGUGGGGAGCAAACAGGAUUAGAUACCCCCGUAGUCCCUGUCUCUUAUAC